rnacentral:rRNA from 1 species
AACGAACGCUGGCGGCAUGCCUAACACAUGCAAGUCGAACGAGACCUUCGGGUCUAGUGGCGCACGGGUGCGUAACGCGUGGGAACCUGCCCUUAGGUUCGGAAUAACUCCCCGAAAGGGGUGCUAAUACCGGAUAAUGUCUUCGGACCAAAGAUUUAUCGCCUUUGGAUGGGCCCGCGUUGGAUUAGCUAGUUGGUAGUGUAAAAGCCUACCAAGGCGACGAUCCAUAGCUGGUCUGAGAGGAUGAUCAGCCACACUGGUACUGAGACACGGCCCAGACUACUACGGGAGGAAGCAGAGGGGAAUAUUGGAAAAGGGGCGAAAGACUGAUACAGCAAUGCCGCGUGAGUGAUGAAGGCCUUAGGGUUGUAAAGCUCUUUUACCCGGGAUGAUAAUGACAGUACCGGGAGAAUAAGCUCCGGCUAACUCCGUG